ensembl:lncRNA
AGAACAUGAUGAUAGAAUUAUAGACAAACUUUAACAAAAGCUGCCUGAGAGUUUACAACUUUUUAUGUUAAAUUUCUUCGGUAAUUUAAUGAGUUAUCAGCAAAAAUCAAGUGUUCAUUUGAUGAACUUCAUUUCCUAAAAACAUCCAGAAUUGGAGCUCAUAUCUUUGGCAGCUGUAAAGUUUCUGCUCCUUCAAAGUUCACAACACAAUGAAUGAAUUCCUAAAACACUCUCAAUGCUGUAGAACGUUUGAUGCUGAAGCAGUGACCAGUUUUUCUGUUUCUUCUCUGGAGAUGCACAAUGAGGGACGUCUGCAGAGACUGAGAAAGAGUCUCACCACAUCCUGACAUGAGGAAAAAGACUUCAUUGAAGACUACAAUGAGAAAAACUAUCAGACAGCAGACGGCUGCAUUCAAGUCUGUAGCUGCUGAAUUCAUGGAUGAAUCAUCUGGUACUAGAGAGGAAGACCAUCAAACAUCCACGUCAGCUGAUGGAGGUCCAAGAGUCUCACCCAACAAACGACCUACAGAGUGAAGACCUCCAAUCUGAUUGGACGGCCUCCUAUUCAGCCACGUGCUGUUAGAUUGUUCCAGAUAAGACAAGUACAAGAUUCUUCAGAGCCGUUCUACCACGAGC